rnacentral:snoRNA from 1 species
AGCUAUGAUGAGGACUUUUUCACAGACCUGUACUGAUCUCCAUGAGUAUAAGUAAAAAAAAAA